CUGGAGGUAUCAGAAGUGCGAAUGCUGACAUAAGUAACGAUAAAGCGGGUGAAAAGCCCGCUCGCCGGAAGACCAAGGGUUCCUGUCCAACGUUAAUCGGGGCAGGGUGAGUCGACCCCUAAGGCGAGGCCGAAAGGCGUAGUCGAUGGGAAACGGGUUAAUAUUCCCGUACUUGGUGUUACUGCGAAGGGGGGACGGAGAAGGCUAUGUUGGCCGGGCGACGGUUGUCCCGGUUUAAGCGUGUAGGUGUGUGUUCCAGGUAAAUCCGGUUCACUUUAACACUGAGGCGUGACGACGAGGCACUACGGUGCUGAAGCAACAAAUGCCCUGCUUCCAGGAAAAGCCUCUAAGCAUCAGGUAACAUCAAAUCGUACCCCAAACCGACACAGGUGGUCAGGUAGAGAAUACCAAGGCGCUUGAGAGAACUCGGGUGAAGGAACUAGGCAAAAUGGUGCCGUAACUUCGGGAGAAGGCACGCUGACACGUAGGUGAAGUGAUUUACUCAUGGAGCUGAAGUCAGUCGAAGAUACCAGCUGGCUGCAACUGUUUAUUAAAAACACAGCACUGUGCAAACACGAAAGUGGACGUAUACGGUGUGACGCCUGCCCGGUGCCGGAAGGUUAAUUGAUGGGGUCAGCGCAAGCGAAGCUCCUGAUCGAAGCCCCGGUAAACGGCGGCCGUAACUAUAACGGUCCUAAGGUAGCGAAAUUCCUUGUCGGGUAAGUUCCGACCUGCACGAAUGGCGUAAUGAUGGCCAGGCUGUCUCCACCCGAGACUCAGUGAAAUUGAACUCGCUGUGAAGAUGCAGUGUACCCGCGGCAAGACGGAAAGACCCCGUGAACCUUUACUAUAGCUUGACACUGAACAUUGAGCCUUGAUGUGUAGGAUAGGUGGGAGGCUUUGAAGUGUGG
rnacentral:rRNA from 6 species